AUAUAGGAGCUACUGAGCUCCAUAAAUUUAAUUUGAAAUAUUUUUU
rfam:Zootermopsis nevadensis contig6224, whole genome shotgun sequence.